GACGAACGCUGGCGGCGUGCUUAAUACAUGCAAGUCAACUGAAGCAGUGGUAGCAAUAUCGCUGUGGAGGUGGCGCACGGGGGAGUAACACGUAGGUAAUCUGCCUUCUGGUCUAGCAUGACUCCGUGAAACCGGGGCUAAUAGCAGCUGAUGCAGCGGCUCGACAUCGAGACAGUUGGUAAAGCUAGGUCGUCUGAAGAUGAGCCGGCGUCUGAUUAGCUAGUUGGCGGGUUAACGGCGCACCAAGGCAACGAUCAGUAGCUGGUCUGAGAGGAUGAUCAGGCACACAGGAACUGUGACGCGACCCAGACUACGACGCGAGGCAGAAGUAUGCGCUAUUGCGCAAUGGGAGAAAUCCUAAAGCAGCGACGACGCGUAAGGGACGAAGGGCUUUUGCUUGUAAACUUCUGUAGGGAGAGAAGUAAAUGCCAAUCUGUGGGUCAUGAUGGUACCUCAAAAGUAAGCCCCGGCUAACUACGUG
rnacentral:rRNA from 1 species